UACGCAGGGGGCUAGCGUUGCUCGGAAUUACUGGGCGUAAAGCGCACGUAGGCGGUCUUUUAAGUCGGGGGUGAAAUCCUGGAGCUCAACUCCAGAACUGCCUUCGAUACUGGAAGACUUGAGUCCGGGAGAGGUGAGUGGAACUGCGAGUGUAGAGGUGAAAUUCGUAGAUAUUCGCAAGAACACCAGUGGCGAAGGCGGCUCACUGGCCGGGUACUGACGCUGAGGUGCGAAAGCGUGGGGAGCAAACAGG
rnacentral:rRNA from 1 species